CAAUAGCGUAUAUUAAAGUUGUUGCAGUUAAAAGCUCGUAGUUGGAUUUGUGGCUGUCGCGUGCGGCCUGACACAUUGUGUUAGUGUUUGCUUGCGUCGCCAUCCUUGGGUGGAACCUGUGUGGCAUUAGGUUGUCGUGCAGGGGAUGCCCAUCGUUUACUGUGAAAAAUUAGAGUGUUUAAAGCAGGCUUAUGCCGUUGAAUAUAUUAGCAUGGAAUAAUAAGAUAGGACUUCGGAACUAUUUUGUUGGUUUGCGUUACGAAGUAAUGAUUAAUAGGGACAGUUGGGGGUAUUCGUAUUUCAUUGUCAGAGGUGAAAUUCUUGGAUUUCUGAAAGACGAACUACUGCGAAAGCAUUUACCAAGGAUGUUUUCAUUAAUCAAGAACGAAAGUUAGGGGAUCGAAGAUGAUCAGAUACCA
rnacentral:rRNA from 1 species